CAGGAGUUCAGAGUGUGCUCUUCCCACGUGAGCAUGCUGAAAAACUCAUGAAGCUGCAGAACCAGAGGGGCGGUCGCAUCUUUUUGCAGGACAUCAAGAAACCAGAUCGUGAUGAUUGGGAGAAUGGGCUGACAGCAGUGG